rnacentral:lncRNA from 1 species
AAUGAAGAACAAUUUCCAAAACUCAUGGGGACUGGGCUUUUGGUGCCGACAAGGAUCAGUCUGAGAAACAUCAGUGAAAGAGAUGUCUGUAUUAAGGAUAUUAGAUACUGGAGAGAAAGGAGCUGGUGGCCCAGUGAGUACUUUCGUAUUCUAAGAAAUAACACUCAACACCUUGAACACAGCUGAGCACUCAGGACAAGGCAGGCUACUAUCACUUUAGUCUCCAAACACCUCAUAUUCUUUAGUAUGUUAUCUUCACACAGUCCUCUGAGACAACAAAGUAUUUCGAUGCUGACUGCCACACAGAGGCUGUAUUUGGAGCCGUGGAGCAUGGAACACCCUUGAGCUCACAGGUCCAGGUCUGCACGUGAACUGUGUCCUUCAGUGGUUUUUAAUAUGGGAAGGAAACCUGGACGCAGCUGACUUCUAGGCUGUGCAGGGAAUCCAUCAAGGACUGGGAAGUCUUUCAAAAUAGUGCUCCCAUCUCUGGGCCUCUUUUCUCCCCUGCUUGGAGGGAUGGGUUGCACUCCGUGAACAUGGCAAGCAGUCAGAUGAGAGAGAAAUUUCUCACUCUUUUUCAUGAAGGGUCUUUUUUUUCUUGCUCUACAGAAAAAAAGGAUAAAUUGAAAGAAAAAACUAUCUUUAGUUAAUAAGAAAAUGAAAUGCAAUUUGCCCAUUUAAACAUAUAUGAGAUUAGACAAAUGUGCAUUCCAUUAAAACUGGUUUUCUUUGAGGAAAAUACUUAGUGUUAGCAGUGAAAAAAAAAGCUUGAGGAAGUAACUUCUAGUAUUACACUGGUGUCACCUGAGUAUUCGUGGUGAAUCRGUGCCAAAAGCUAGAUUUCAUUCAUCAGAAGCCAUACACUGUUUGAUCUAAGUCUGUGAAUGAGUUAGGGUCUGGCUUUUGUGUCUUAUGGGAAAUUCAACAUGGGAUGUCCACAACAUUUCUAUCCUAAAAUGAAACAAAUAAAGACAAAUUGGGGAUUGUUUAAACCCUGUGU